ensembl:lncRNA
CGUGAUCAGUGGUUAUCAGCUCAUAGAUAUGGGCCAGGAGGGGCCUACUGCGCCUACUAGUAGGCUCAGAAAGCUGUUAUCAUCCAUCCACAUGGUUAAUCACCCACAAAUAUACAAGAGAAGACUCCAGAUCCAAGCCACGAGGAAUCCAGCUCACCGGUAAUCGGAAGUCUACUGGAUAACGCGGCAACGUUGCGAUAUUUUCAGGUAAGACUAUUAAAAUGAUAAAACUGAGCAUUUAAACUGUUAUUAAUUAGCCAAUAAGGGAAAACAAUACAUAAAAUCGUAUUGCGGGACAUGAUUGUUGACAUGAGAUAACCGUAUUGCGAUGUGUCUGCAAACAUUAUAGCUAGGCCCUAUAACGUUAUUAGCCUGUCGUUACGUUAACGUUGCAUGCUUUAUGUGAGCAUUAACGUUGUUAAUUAGCAUGUUUUUGUGUCUGAAGCUCAUGGGGAAAUUUAGUUUAAUAGUUAAGCGCAAAGUAAACCUGUAAAAAUGACGUUUUACCCACUGUAAGACAGUAAGGCUUAUUGCAUAUAUUGUGUAUCUCCUCAUUGACGCUUGACUGAAGCAAUAUGAUGAGUGAAAUAUUCAAACCAAAGACGUAUUUUACGGCUGUUUGGAAACCUUGGGAUCUUGACUAGAAUGUAAAAUAAAGUUCUGUGGGUUUGAACAAAAGCUUGGCUGCAUUUGAUCCCACAUGAGGAAGCUUAGAGUAAUACGUUAAUUUUAAUCAGGCUGCUGCUCUACCUGUGCACACCUGUCACCUGUGUGUCUAUCUAUCUAUCUAUCUAUCUAUCUGUCUGUCUGUCUGUCUGUCUGUCUGUCUGUCUUUUCAGGCACCAAAUACAUAUCCCUCAUCUGCAUCCUGUGUUUACCGAAGUAUUUUUCUGUCUUUUAGGCUGUGAUAAGAAUUAGGGGUUGUACUGUGCUUUAUGUAAUAAUUGCCAAAUAUUUUGAUUUCAGAAAUGGGAAAAGCAGUUAAGAGUGCACACUUCAGUAGCGUUAAGAUUAAGGUGGUGAGAAGGUGUUUCGCUGGCCCUGCAAAGGUUUCUUACCUUAGUCAAGGUCUUCCCCAGCCCAACUCCAAACAGACCCACCCUUCAAACCCUUCCAUGUCUAUUACAUCUCAACAGGCUGAACCUAAUGAUGUGUCACCGAGCUGUAGUUCAUGUUCUGAGACUGCAUACAGUAAGGCAAAGAAGAGAGAGCUUCAUGCCUGGGAUGCAGUCAAAUCUUUCUUACAGAAUGCCCACUAUGAGCCAUCCUCCCUGGGGUUAUUCCUAUAUUUACCUGAAGGCCAUGGCACCCAUACUGUGUACAUAAAGGACAUGAAGGUCAUUGUCAGCACAGGACGGCUCCGCACUGUCACAGUCAAUAUGUGUGCGUGUGAACUAGAAACCACCGUAGGAUUGUACAGUUGCAUGCAAAAGUAUUCUUGAUAUUUUUCUAUCAAAUAACAACUUCUGAGUGAACCACCAUCAUCACCACGUUACCAUACGAAAUAGUGUUUUCACUGACUGCUGCUUAUACCGUAGGUUAACACACUCUACAGAGCCCUGGUGGGGGAAUCCAUAUCCCAUUUUAGGCAUCAGCACUUCCGACAAAGAAGUUUGGUAGAUAUUUGCCCACAAUUAGAUGAUGGGACCAUAUGCCCAGCAUGUCCAAAGGUUGGUUCUAGUUCCAGCGUGGUUCUUGUUUGAUUAGCCACUGUAUUUACCAUGACCUGAUGGCAUUGAAAUGAUAUCUGCAAUAUUAGUUAAUUUUUGUAUAAAGUAUUAUAAUAAAAUAGUAAUAGUAUAAAUGUAUAAACCUGGU